AAAGGGGACAAAGAUGGUGAAACCAGAGGACAGUGGGAAGUUUUAGAAGAGGAUCAUGAGGAGCAGGGCCUGAAGCAGCUCUUUUGAGGAUCUUGAUUAAGAAUAAGAAGCAUCCAAAAGCAGCAAGCAUGUGUCAGCCCCUGGAGGCCAUGAAGAAGACCACUCUAUGAGUUUCAAGACCCUCAGAACUACUACUCUUUUCUGAAAACACUGUACCCACCUGAAACUGUUACGACAUGUGUGAUUGCAUCACAUUAUUUCUGGGGAAGAAAGACCAUAAAAUGCUCUCUGAAUCCAUAAGGACAACUCCGUUGGCACAGAUGGGAAUUUUGCUCUGAAGUGACAGCACUGCUUUCCUGGAACAUGAACUAGUAACUGCAAAGAGUUUCUUUGGAAACACCAUAUUUUAUCAUUGACCCAUCUUUACCAUAGUGCACACUCCUAAACCAUUCUAUAGAGAUGUUCCCCGGAAGUUAAAGAUGGCUCAGAAGAAAAACUGUCAUCU
rnacentral:lncRNA from 12 species